rnacentral:rRNA from 1 species
GGGAAGCCUAACAUGCAGUCGAGCNGAGCUUGACGAAUGAUUUCUUCGGAAUGAAAUCUGAUAUGACUGAGUGGCGGACGGGUGAGUAACGCGUGAGCAACCUGCCCUUCGGAGGGGGAUAGUGUCUGGAAACGGACAGUAAUACCGCAUAACGUAUUUUUACCGCAUGAUAGAAAUACCAAAACUGAGGUGCCGAAGGAUGGGCUCGCGUUGGAUUAGAUAGUUGGUGGGGUAACGGCCUACCAAGUCGACGAUCCAUAGCCGGACUGAGAGGUUGAACGGCCACAUUGGGACUGAGACACGGCCCAGACUCCUACGGGAGGCAGCAGUGGGGAAUAUUGCACAAUGGGGGAAACCCUGAUGCAGCAACGCCGCGUGAAGGAAGACGGUUUUCGGAUUGUAAACUUCUGUUCUUAGUGAAGAAUAAUGACGGUAGCUAAGGAGCAAGCCACGGCUAACUACGUGCCAGCAGCCGCGGUAAUACGUAGGUGGCAAGCGUUGUCCGGAAUUACUGGGUGUAAAGGGAGCGCAGGCGGGAAGCCAAGUCAGCUGUGAAAACUACGGGCUUAACUUGUAGACUGCAGUUGAAACUGGUUUUCUUGAGUGAAGUAGAGGUUGGCGGAAUUCCGAGUGUAGCGGUGAAAUGCGUAGAUAUUCGGAGGAACACCGGUGGCGAAGGCGGCCAACUGGGCUUUAACUGACGCUGAGGCUCGAAAGUGUGGGGAGCAAACAGGAUUAGAUACCCUGGUA